GAAGUUUCGGAGAGUACAUAACCUCCGCCAGUACAUCUCAGAACAUCACACACAAAGAACAGAGCAAGCCUACAACACAAAGAAAAAGAUUAAUCCAACAAAAUGAAGAUUGUGAUUGUUCUUGCUUGUCUUUUGGCCAUCAUCGUUCCUUUUGAGGCCAGCAGUAGUGAAAGUGGAAGCAGUGAACAAUGGCUAUAUCCAUCUUAUCCAUCAUAUCCAAACCAAAUGCCAUUUUCAAAUUUUGCCCCUAUGUAUCCUCCAUCCUAUGGUGGCAUCUUAUUUGAGGAUUUAAAGAGGGCUCUAGCAGCUAUCAUACCACCUGCUAGCAAGACUAAAUAAAACCUGUUAUGUUGACUGAUCUUGCUGAAGUAUUUUUUACAAGAUACUCAGAAGACAUCCUUUUGCUUCUGGCAUAGCCUGACAAAUGAUUCUGCUUUACAUCGACUUUUUAAAAGCUUUCAUGCUUUUCUUUAAAUAAAUUUGACUGAAUUACA